ACAGCUCCAACCUUCCUUCUCCUGUUCGUGUGUGCUUCCAUUUUGGCAACCAGUGUAUCCUUCUUGCUUGCUUCUUUCCUUUGAAGGUGAAAAUGAAUCCCAGUCAAAACGAGGAAAGAACUGAAAUGAAAGAGAAGGAGACUAAUGUCACCCAGUUCACUUUGCUGAGGCAGUGUCUAUAUGGGUCGCAUGGAGGAAAGAGAGAAGACCUGGUGGGUGAGUAUAUUUGUAAGUGGUGUGCAUAAGAGAAAGGACAGAGAGAUAGAAAAAGAGAAAAUCAAUACCUACUUGAAAUGUUUAUAUCGAACCAGACUUACUUUCAUUUUCUGAGAAUAAAGUUGAGGAAAACAAACAGCUAAGAAAAUUGAAGGAAAAGCGCUUUCAGGGAUAACUUUGAAAACUGUAGGAUCACCACCAGCAGCAAAAUGAUAGGAAAGGGGGGGUGAGGGGGAGUUAAAUCUUUCCUUGCCAGUUUUCACUUAAAAAGGAAAAUAGGGUUGAAGAAACACUUAGACCCAACUUUACCAUUUAAUACUGAAAGCGAGAGAUUCCUGAGGUAACUAUAGAAGAUAUAGGAAUGUUUUCAUGUAAUGCUGCAUUUUGGAUUCUGGGCUAUGCAAACAAAUGGAAACAACCCAUAUGAAGCCUAUCCAAUUCUGGGCACUGCAAUUUGAGAUGGCGACAAGCUGGAAUGUGCCCAGAGAAGGGCGACUAAAACGAUCAAGGGUCUGGAGAACAAGCACUAUGAGGAGCAGCUUAAAGAUCUAGGCAUGUUUAGCUUACAGAAGAGAAGGCUGAGAGGAGACAUGAUGGCCAUGAAUAUAUGAGGGGAAGUCAUAGGGAGGAGGGAGCAAGCUUGUUUUCUCCUGCCCUAGAGAACAGGAUGCAGAACAAUGGCUUCAAAUUACAGGAAAGGAGAUUCCACCUGAACAUUAGGAAGAACUUUUUAAUUGUGAGAGCUGUUCAGCAAUGGAACUCGCUGCCCCAGGGUGUGGUGGAGGCUCCUUCUUUGGAGACUUUUAAACAGAAGCUGAAUUGCCAUCUGUCAGGGGUGCUUUGAAUGCAGUUUUCCUUCUUCUUGGCAGGAGGUUGGACUGGAUGGCCCAUAAGCUCUCUUUCAACUCUGUGAUUCUAUGAAUGUUGGCUGUUUGUGAGUUACACCUGCUGAUUCAAAAAUUGCAUCAGUUUUUUCCCCUAUCAGCUUUAGUUUUUGAGAUACAGAUCAUAUGGCAUCUAUCAGCUCAUCCAUAGAAAACCAUGAUAACCAUAUCUGAUAAAAUAAAGCUGAUGCCGUCUAUCAAAUGCAAUUUUCUAAAUCAGCAGCCCAAAUAACCCUAGGAAUAGGCCUAAAAACCAAGACACCAAGAACGAGACUGUGAUAUCAGUUUUAUUGAGCCAACCAGAUAAGCAACUGCAUUGGUUGGUUUAAUAAUUGAUUUAUUUUCUUUUAACCCACUAUUUAUGAAUAACAGGUUAGAUAUCUACUACAACAAAACUGAAUUCUGGCUAUUCCACCUUUAUACGGGAGGAGGUAAUGAUAGAGGGAAUAUGCAUGAGACAAGCAUUUCCUGUGGCUUCUGUUCUGUGUGUGCACUUAAUGCAAAGUAACUGGUUAGCAUUUUGUGUGAUGUUGUUAUCAUGCUCUGGUCCUAGCACAUAGUUUUAAGAGAAAUCACCUGGGAUUAUGAAAAUGAACAAAAUACUGCAUGGCUGACUUUCAAAACCCUUACUUUGGCCAACUCAUGCUUAGCUACGGUUUAUCAUAGUGUAUUCUGUAUGAUGAAUGUAAGCUCGUUGUAUUAAGGUUCAUAUGAAUAUUUUUUUGUAAAAUUUGUACCAGGAUCGUCAAUUUACUUUGUUAAAGAAAAUGCAAAUAGGAAGGCUUAAUGGAACACAGCUACACAGCUGAGAGGUCUUAUCACUACUUAUACUAAGUCAAAGACUAUGGGAGGAUCUAACAGGAAACGUAUGUCUCCAGUGACUACUUCAUUAGAGUAAAAAACUAAGAAGUACCAAACUAUAUUAACGUUUAAAAAUUGUCCACCUUUUCUCCAUUCUUCCCCCCUCCACCUCCUUCUGGCCCUUCUCUUCAUGAUGACAGUUUUUCCUCCCCCUGUCACGUAACUGAAAUCUUAAGGGAAAAAAAUGGCACUUGUCAGUAUUAUUAUUAUUAGAGAACAAGGAUUAUGAACAAAAUAACUAAUUGCUUUGAAGCAAGCUCAGGUAGCUACCACUACAAAUAUGUAUCAGAAUGUAUUUAUUAUUUAUGAAUUAUUUACUUAAUUUAUAUCCCACUCUUCUCACUCUGCAGGGGACUCAGAAUAUGCCUAUGGCAGCCACAGUAUGGAAACAGUCAUCCAGUGGGAGAUUGUCAGUUAACUAGCUCCUCCAAAUGCUUCCGAUUAAAAAAAUUGGUAUUGAAUUAGGAAAGUAACCAUAAAUGAACUACCAACUUUGGAUCUACUUUUUAAAAAAAAAGUCUUUAUCAAUGUAAUAUAUGACUGCAGUGUCAUCUAUAGCAUAUGUUUAGUGAUAACUGGGAAAACUGAGGUAAUACAGUGACUUGCAAUUCCUGCAGAUGAACUUCUCCAUCAAUAUGCUUUUUGUACAAUCAUAAAUUUACAAUCAUAAAGUAAGCAGCUACCUGGGAGAAUUUCCUUCUGGGAGAAUUUCUCACUCUUUAAAUUAAAUAGUUUAAGGAUACCGCAUUACCAGUGCCUACUUAGAUCACUUUUUUCAUAUAAAUUAUGUAGCUGUACCUCAGAGUGACCAAUACUCAGAAGGGAAAAUUAUUACAAAAGACUCAGAAAAAUCAGACUAACCCAAAGUAGAUUACUGUUUCAAUGUACUCAUUUUUUUUAAAAGUCUCUCUGAUUAAAAAAGGGUAUGAAUUCCAAUGGAAAUGGAUCCCAGACAGGAUCACAGGGAAAUAGGACAGAACAUCAUUUUUGGGAGAAAUCUGAAUUGUUCUGUAAGUAUGAAAAACUGGGAAGAUGGGAAGGGACAUGUUCUACCUGAGCUCCCAACAGCAUUAAGUUAUGGGACCACAAAAUGGCACAACUGGAUGGUAAGAACCGUAAACGUGAGUAUAACUUGGUAAGAUGGGAGAACAAAUGGCAAUGCUUUGUUGCAUGCUCUCAUUUGUGAGGUCUGUUUUCUGAAUCAAUGACCAACUUCCCAUUUAACAUUAUUUUCUGCAGUAAAACUCUCUUCUAAAAUUAUCUACUUUUAAGAAACAAAUCAAGACACUUUUAUGAAGGUCAAACACCUUAGAAAAUCAUUGCAGCGUAAGGAAUUGGCUGCACUGUUUAUUUAAAUCCCAGACUUACAUGUAUUGGCGGCCGUUAGAGAGCCAAUGAAAAAUAAGCAACUCACUACAAUAGGUAAUCAAUAUUAUUAAUGGGUAAAUUGUAUAAUGGUAUAAUCAUGUAGUUAUCCAGGUGUUAUUGGCCUGAACUCUGGAGUAAAUGAGAUAUCCUUUAUUCAAAGAUCUAUUGUGAACUUCUAUCAGCAUUGCCUACAAAAAGUCCUGCAAAUCUCUUGGGAAGACAGAUGGACAAAUGUCAGCGUCCUGGAAGAAGCAAAAACCACCAGCACUGAAGAAAUGCUCCUAUAGCAUCAGCUCCACUGGACUGGCCACAUUGUCCGAACGCCUGAUGACCAUCUCCCAAAGCAGUUACAAUACUCCCAACUCAAGAAUGGAAAAUGGAAUGUUGAUGGAAAGGAAAAAAGAUUUAAAUAUGGGCUUAAAGCUAACCUUAAAAACUGUGGCAUAGACAUAGAGAACUGGGAAGCCCUGGCCCUUAAGCGCUCUAACCAGAGGUCAGCUGUGACCAGCAGUGCUGCAAUAUUUGAAGAGGCACAAAUGGAGGGCAAAAGGGAUAAACAUACCAAGAGGAAGGUGUGUCAAGCCAACCCUGACCAGGACUGCCUUCCACCUAGAAACCAAUGUCCUCACUGUGGGAAGAACAUGCGUGUCAAGAAUAGGUUUCCACAACCACCUACAUAUCCACUGCCAAGACACUACACUUGGAGGGCCAUCAUACUUGGACAACAAGGGAUCAUCUAAGUAAGUAAGGUGAAUUCCUUGCAAUAAUUUAAUAUGGAAGAAACUGUAUGAUAUAUCAUGGCUAAAUAAGACCUUGCAAGAAUCAACACCGAUGGUUAAUUAUCUAAUAUUAACAAAAGGAUAACGAGUGAUAGCCACAUUUUAGAUAACCUAGUUGGAAAGCAAAGUCCAAGAAUGCCCAAACUGUAGAGCUGUGUUUUUUUUUAAUUGAAGUAUUGCUCUCUCUCUCAGAGAAGCUAAAUCCAAUUCCAUGAUCAAUCCCGCUCCUGACCAAAACACAAGACCAUUUACGUCUUGGCUAGAUAAAUCUUAUUUUAUUGGCUUACAUCCAGUCUAUUAUCAUUGCCAGGCACUAAUUCAGAACAUCAACAGCUUGCCUGUAAUGUGAUGGAAAUAACAGAGCUGUGCAUAUUAGCAGCAUAUUAAUAACAAUUCAUUCAGCAUCUCUGAACUUCCUUUUCCAGAGGCUCUGUGUCAGGUUUAAACAGUAUAGGAGAGAAAAUAAUCAACUGCAAGAUUCCAUAAACUGAUGAACAAUGUAGCCAGCAAAACCCACCUCUCCACUUUUAGGCUUUCUAGAAAAAUCCAGAGCCAUGAAGCAGUACCUCUAAAAACUAUACUAUAGUAAUUGCCAUCAAAUAUUUAUUGGUUAAGACACAGCAAAGGAGUACUGGUAAACAAUGAAACUAUUAACCCACACAAAAUUGUUUUAAAAACAAGCCAUCUGGCUCUGCAGAAGGGGAUGAAAAAAAGUUAUUCCUUCUUGGGGAAAUGUAGGUUAAAGGACAGCAGAUGGAAGCAAGUUGUUUCACUCAAGUUACUUGUUUAACCCGUUAAUAUUUUUAUGUCACUUGAUUAAACUUGUAUAGUACUUUUCUAGAUUUAAUAGCACCAAUGCAAAUAUGAGAUGUAAUAUAACUAGAUUUGAGUAUAACCCCAUGUCAGCCUGCAAUUUAACAUUUUAAGAUUCACUCAUUUAAAUAGGAUUACAAGCAAUUAUAGGGUUCCAUCUGUUUCUCUCUUUAUAGAACCAUAAAUUUCCAUUUAAAAUGGCACACAUUAUUGGAAACUGGCUUCAUGUGAUCACCUUCUUGGCCAUGAUAUUACAGAGAAAAAAGUUUUCUGAUAAACGUGGCACUGGUUAAUGAACAGGUAGCAGAGAACUGCAAACAAUGAAAAGAUAUAAUGCUUUUAAUUUCUUAAUAAGACUGAGUUAAGUGUGAAUAGAGUUUGCUGAUGGAACCCAAUUAUUUACAAUGGUUAGAAUGAAUUCUGAAGAGCUAAAAAAAAAUCUCUCCAAACUGUGGUACUGAAACAUCAAGUUUUAGUCCAAGCAAAUGUAAAGGCACAUAUUUGGGGACAAUAAAACGGUCACCUUAUCAUAUAUACUAGUAAGACUGGAGCUGGUAGCAAAUAACCAAAACAGUGAUCUUGAAACUAUAAUGGUCACCACAGAGCAAAUAUCAACCCAGCAUAUGGCUGCUGUAAGAAAAGCUUAUUCCAUCUUGGGUGUUACCAGUAAAGAAAUAACUGAUAAAAUUGCCAUACUGUUACUAUUGAAAAACCUGCUUCCAUGAACAGAAGGUGUGCUGAAUGGAAAUCACGUGCAUGGAUGUGCCCAUUUCCACAUACCUUCUUCCCCUUCCCCUGCUUGUCAGUCUCUAGCCUGUCCCACAUUUUUCAUGAAGAGUUCCACAACUCUUAGAAAAGCUACUGUUCAGGAAAUAGAAAAAAACAUACUGCAUUAAUACCAAACCUGGUAAAUUCAAUAGGCUGUUGCACCACAACUCGCAUAUUGGGACUGGAGGUAAUGGGAAUUUGAGUCCAAGGACAUCAGAAAGGCCACUUAUUUCCCAGACCAAUUUAAACAGUGUCAUUCAUAGUUCUGUGGAUCCAAUAUUUAUACAUAGGUUUGAAGUAGAUAAAUACUGCUCUGCUUCAGUAUCAACAUUGUAAAUAUAUGCAGUUAUGGGUGAUUUAUAAACUGGAAAUUGGGAGGAAGUUACUACCCAGCUGGGAAAUUAAAAUCUGGAAUACAGGCUCAAUAAAGUUGAAAGCAAAUAACUUAAUUUGCUUUAUGAAACUGUAAAGGCUGAUAAAACUCUAUACAGCAAAUGUUAAUUUCUGGCAUCAUUAGAUAAAAUCUCAGAAAUAAAUAUUCUCAGAUAUGAUUACUAAGAGGCAAGUUUGACAUUGCAUUAGGUCUCUGAUAAAGACAUUUAUAUUUCACAAGUGUGUAGCUUAUAGUCAAUGGAGACUUCAGUGGCCAAAUUAAAAUAUUAGACAAGUAGCAACUAUAAGGAUUCUGAAUUUUCCUUUAGAGGCUGAUACAGGUAGAAUGAAUGGAAAUAUUAAACUGUUGUUGAAGGCUUUCAUGGCCGGAA